rnacentral:rRNA from 1 species
CACGUAGGGGGCAAGCGUUGUCCGGAUUUAUUGGGCGUAAAGAGCUCGUAGGCGGCUCAGUAAGUCAGGUGUGAAACCUCCAGGCUCAACCUGGAGACGCCACCUGAUCACUGCUGUGGCUAGAGUCCGGUAGGGGAGCGUGGAAUUCCUGGUGUAGCGGUGAGAUGCGCAGAUAUCAGGAGGAACACCAGCGGCGGAAGGCGGCGCUCUGGGCCGGAACUGACGCUGAGGAGCGAAAGCCGUGGGUAGCAAACAGG